rnacentral:tRNA from 1 species
UAGACAUUAGUAAAAUGUAUUACACCACCUUGUCGAGGUGGAUUUGUGGGUUACACCCCCGCAUGUCUUA